rnacentral:lncRNA from 1 species
UGGAUACCCUUGUGCACUUUAAGGGGCCUCUCACAACUCUACAACACUCCUUCUAUAACAUCGUUGAGCGAACGGGUAGGGAUCAUCGUCAGAGCUCCGGUUGUUGUCGCGGUUGGUUGGGAGGGGGGAGUCAUCAUUAUCAAGGUCGAGAGGAAGAGGAAGCUACGAAACUGAAAAAAGAAAAACAAAAAAACCUUACACCCUGUGAGGGGUGCCUCUCAACUGGAUUACUAACUUGCACAUUUCAAUC